rnacentral:rRNA from 1 species
CGAAAGUCUGACGGAGCAACGCCGCGUGAGUGAAGAAGGUUUUCGGAUCGUAAAGCCCUGUCUUCAGGGACGAAUGUGCUUAAUGUGAAUAAUGUUAAGUAAUGACGGUACCUGAGGAGGAAGCCACGGCUAACUACGUGCCAGCAGCCGCGGUAAUACGUAGGUGGCAAGCGUUGUCCGGAAUUAUUGGGCGUAAAGCGCGCGCAGGCGGGAAUGUAAGUCUGUCUUAAAAGUUCGGGGCUCAACCCCGUGAUGGGAUGGAAACUACAUUUCUUGAGUGCAGGAGAGGAAAGUGGAAUUCCUAGUGUAGCGGUGAAAUGCGUAGAUAUUAGGAGGAACACCAGUGGCGAAGGCGACUUUCUGGACUGUGUCUGACGCUGAGGCGCGAAAGCCAGGGGAGUGAACGGGAUUAGAUACCCCGGUAAUCCUGGCCGUAAACGAUGGGUACUAGGUGUAGGAGGUAUCGACCCCUUCUGUGCCGGAGUUAACGCAAUAAGUACCCCGCCUGGGGAGUAC